rnacentral:misc_RNA from 1 species
GAUGAAGAACGUAGUGAAAUGCGAUAAGUAAUGAGAAUUGCAGAAUUCCGUGAAUCAUCGAAUCUUUGAACGCACAUUGCGCCCCCUGGUAUUCCGGGGGGCAUGCCUGUCCGAGCGUCAUUGCAACCCUCAAGCGCGGCUUGUGUGUUGGGCUUCGUCCCCCCGUGGACGUGCCCGAAAGGCAGUGGCGGCGUCCCGAAUGGUGCCCGAGCGUAUGGGAACUCUCUUCCGCUCGAACCGGCCCAUUCGGCGCUGGUCGAACCCCAAUUUUUUUUUACCGGUUGACCUCGGAUCAGGUAGGGAUACCCGCUGAACUUAAGCAUAUCAAUAAGCGGAGGA